rnacentral:tRNA from 1 species
GCAAGCAUGGCGAAAUUUGGUAGACGCGCGGUAUUUAGGUUUCCGUAUUGAAUAAUAUGAGAGUUCGAGUCUCUCUGCUUGUA